rnacentral:rRNA from 1 species
GACGAACGCUGGCGGCGUGCUUAACACAUGCAAGUCGAACGGAAAGGCCCUGCUUUUGUGGGGUGCUCGAGUGGCGAACGGGUGAGUAACACGUGAGUAACCUGCCCUUGACUUUGGGAUAACUUCAGGAAACUGGGGCUAAUACCGGAUAGGAGCUCCUGCUGCAUGGUGGGGGUUGGAAAGUUUCGGCGGUUGGGGAUGGACUCGCGGCUUAUCAGCUUGUUGGUGGGGUAGUGGCUUACCAAGGCUUUGACGGGUAGCCGGCCUGAGAGGGUGACCGGCCACAUGGGGACUGCGAUACGGCCCAGACUCCUACGGGAGGCAGCAGUGGGGAAUAUUGCACAAUGGGCGGAAGCCUGAUGCAGCAACGCCGCGUGCGGGAUGAUGGCCUUCGGGUUGUAAACCGCUUUCGCCUGUGACGAAGCGUGAGUGACGGUAAUGGGUAAAGAAGCACCGGCUAACUACGUG